CUAGGUGGCUCUCGCGGAGGGGUCACACCCGUUCCCAUUCCGAACACGGCAGUUAAGCCCUCCAGCACCGAUGGUACUGCCCCGGAGACGGGGUGGGAGAGUAGGACGCCGCCUGGU
rnacentral:rRNA from 1 species